AACCGUGCAAAGGUAGCGUAAUCACUUGUCUCCUAAAUAGAGACCCGUAUGAAAGGUUAGUUGAGGAUAAAACUGUCUCUUGAGGCCAAUCAAUGAAACUGAUCUUCCAGUACAAAAGCUGGAAUGAACACAUAAGACGAGAAGACCCUGCGGAGCUUUAAGCCAUAGUACUAACACACCAACCCAUUAAGCUCAGACAAAAUGAAAUAGUACUAACUUUUAGUUGGGGCGACUGCGGAAAAAAAACAACCUCCAUGAAACCAGGCUAACCGCCACUACAAGACCAACUUGUCAAGUAAUUAAAAACAUUGACCCAGCACAGCUGAUCAUCGAACCAAGUUACCCCAGGGAUAACAGCGCCAUCCCCUUCAAGAGUCCAUAUCGCCAAGGGGGCUUACGACCUCGAUGUUGGAUCAGGACCCCCAGAUGGUGUAGCCGCUAUCAACGGUUCGUUUGUUCAACGAUUAAUGUCCUACGUGAU
rnacentral:rRNA from 1 species